rnacentral:lncRNA from 1 species
UAUCAUGUUUCAGAUCUAUUUGCUUUAUGCUAGCUAUUGAUGUAUGUUGGAUUUCAGCGCAUAUUCUUUUUAUUGCGUUUUCGAUCUACCGUUCUCCAACAUGAUGUAAAUUAGUUAUGUUUAUCCAUGAACGUGUUCGCAAACAACAACGUAAAAUCACCUUCAAUAUUGCGGAAUUAUGGUAACGAUGCAGAUUAAGUUUUCAUGGUGAAUUUUUAUGUAUUUGAGUUUUGAUUUGGCUGCAUUGUUACUUUGCUUCUUAGUGAUUUUGAUUGUGUUGAAAUUUUAGUGUGGUGUUUGUGUGUUCAUAUCU